AUGGAGGUUGCAGCAGGUGCGAUGAGUCCCCUCCUCCGCAAGCUCGGCGACCUGCUCGUCGACGAGUACAACCUGGAAAACAGAGUGAAGAAAGGAAUCCAGUCACUAGAGACAGAGCUGUCAUUUAUGCACUCCGCACUCCGCAAGGUGGGCGAGAUGCCAUCUCACGAGCUCGACCCACAGGUCUGCAUCUGGGCAGACAAGGUGAGGGAGCUGUCCUAUGAAAUCGAAGACGCUGUCGAUGCUUUCAUGGUGCGCGUGGAGGAGGAGGAGGGCUGUCACCAUGCUGGCCCAAUCAACACCAAAAAGAGAGUUAAGAAGUUCCUUAAACGAGCCACCAAAUUGUUCCGCAAGGGAAAGGGUCUGCAUCAGAUCUCCAGUGCCAUCGACGAAGCUCAAGAUCUUGCUAAACAGUUGGCCGAGCUACGUCAAAGGUAUGGGCUUGAAAUGCAGGGCACCAAGGCUGGUUCUACUAUUGACCCUCGUCUGACAGCUAUGUACAAAGAUGUGACGGAGCUUGUUGGUAUUGCCGACCCUUGUGAAAAGAUGAUCAAGAUGCUGAAGAUAGAGGGCGAUGAGGGUUCCAAGAAAGGAUUGAAGGUAGUCUCGGUCGUUGGAUUUGGCGGGUUGGGUAAGACAACUCUUGCCAAAGCAGUGUAUGAUAGGAUUAAAGCACGAUUUCUAUGUGCAGCUUUUGUUUCUGUGUCCCGGAAUCCUGAUGUGAGUAGAGUUUUCAAGGAUAUGCUCUAUGAGCUCGACAAGGUCCAGUUUGGGCACAUUCAUAAUGCAAACAUGGAUGAAAAGCAGCUUAUUGACAAACUACAAGAAUUCCUUGAGAACAAAAGCUAUCUCAUCGUGAUAGAUGACAUAUGGGAUGACAAAGCCUGGAAAUUUAUCAAGUGUGCUUUUUCUGAGAACAAUCACUGUUGUCGACUAAUCACAACAACCCGUAUAGCCAGUGUUGCUGAAGCAUGCUGCUCUUCAACUGAUGAUAUAAUUUAUAGAAAGGAUCCUCUUAAUGAUGAGGACUCCAGAAGGCUCUUUCAUAAACGAAUAUUUUCUCAUGGAAAAGAGUGCCCUAAUGAAUUGGCUCAAAUAUCUAUAGACAUCUUGAAGAAAUGUGGCGGGGUACCACUGGCCAUCAUUACUAUAGCAAGUCUUUUGGUUGUUAAUCAACGGAUAAAAUCAAUUGAUCAAUGGUAUGCUUUGCUUAAAUUGAUCGGUCGGGGACUUGAAGGAGAUGCUUGUGUGGAGGACAUGCAAAGGAUAUUGUCAUUCAGCUAUUACGAUCUACCUUCUCAUUUGAAGACUUGUUUAUUAUAUUUAAGUGUAUUCCCGGAAGAUUACGUGCUUGGGCGAGAUCGGUUAAUAUGGAGAUGGAUUGCCGAAGGUUUUGUCCAAGGUGGAAAACAAGAAACUAGUUUGUAUGAUCUCGGGGAGAGUUAUUUCAAUGAACUUAUAAAUAGAGGCCUGAUCCAGCCUGUAGACAUUGAUAUUGAUGGAAGGGCGAAAGCUUGUCAUGUUCGUGAUAUGGUGCUCGAUCUCAUUUGUUCACUCUCAAUAAAAGACAACUUUCUUACCAUAUUGGAUGGUAUUAAGCGGAACAAGCCUAAUUCACCAAGCAAGAUUCGCAGGCUAUCCAUUCAAAAUACCAUGGUAGAACCCACCACCCUUCGGCUUGAUACUAGGACCAUGCCACAAGUGCGGUCUGUUACUCUCUUUCCUUCUGCUAUUGAUCAGAUGACGUCUCUUUCAUGCUUCCAAGUUCUUCGUGUAUUGGAUUUGGAAUACUGUGAUCUCAGAGAGAUUGGCCAUAAGAUUAACAUGAGGUGUGUCGUGAAUUUAUUACACCUAAGGUAUCUAGGGCUAAGAAGUACAUAUGUGCUUCCGAAGGAAAUUGGAAAGCUACAGUUUCUGCAAACAUUGGACUUAGUAGAAACUGGUCUAAAAGAGUUGGUGCCAAGUAUUGUUCAGCUACAACAUCUGAUGUGCAUACACUUUGAUAAGUAUACAAAACUACCACUUGGAAUGGGGAACCUGACAUCCCUAGAAGAGCUGAGUGAACUCCAUGUGGACCGUUAUUCCUCGGGCAUUGUGGAAGAGCUUAGUCAUCUCAUUGAGCUGAGGGUGCUCCGAAUUAAUUUCGAAGAAUCUGAUGAGAACCAGGAUAAAGAUUUUGUAGAGGCCCUAGGCAAUCUGCGCAAAUUGCAAAGUCUAGAUAUUAAUGGUAAUGAUGGAUGUGUGGAUCUCCUGCGGGAAGGCUGGGUGCCCCCUCAACAAUUACAUAGACUGGCGGUGUUGAAUGGAAAGGACAACAGGUUCUUAACACUACCAGCGUGGAUUAGUCCUUCAUCGCUGCCACUCCUCUCAUACCUGAAUAUAUGGCUGGAUGAAGUUCAGGCCAAGGAUGUCCAGAUCAUCGGGAUGCUGCCAUGUCUUCGUUUUCUCAUGCUUGGGGCGUGGCGGCGGAUAGAAGAGCCCGAGGCAGAAUGUUUCGUGGUUACCGCUGAUGCAUUCCCAUGUGUUAGAGAGUGCAUAUUCUUCAAUUUUGUUAUGGCGCCAUCAUUUCCACGAGGAGCUAUGCCAAUGGUUCAGCUGGCCCAAUUCUGUUUCCGAGCAUGUGACAUUGCCAAUGCUAAUUUGGACUUGAGCAUCUGUCACCUAACUUCCCUAGAGCAGGUCCGCGUUGACCUCUGGUGUAAGAAGGCCAGCACUGGGGAGGUGAAGGAGGCUGAGGCUGCACUUUGGCUCGCUGUGGCCGCCCAUCCCUGCUGCCCCACUCUCUAUAGCAGGAGGAGGUGA
rnacentral:rRNA from 1 species